rnacentral:rRNA from 1 species
AGCGAACGCUGGCGGCGUGCCUAAUACGUGCAAGUCGAGCGAGUCUCUUCGGAGGCUAGCGGCGGACGGGUGAGUAACACGUAGGCAACCUGCCUCUCAGACUGGGAUAACAUAGGGAAACUUAUGCUAAUACCGGAUAGGUUUUUGGAUCGCAUGAUUCGAAAAGAAAAGGCGGCUUCGGCUGUCACUGGGAGAUGGGCCCGCGGCGCAUGAGCUAGUUGGUGGGGUAACGGCCUACCAAGGCGACGAUGCGUAGCCGACCUGAGAGGGUGACCGGCCACACUGGGACUGAGACACGGCCCAGACUCCUACGGGAGGCAGCAGUAGGGAAUUUUCCACAAUGGACGAAAGUCUGAUGGAGCAACGCCGCGUGAACGAUGAAGGUCUGCGGAUUGUAAAGUUCUGUUGUUAGGGACGAAUAAGUACCGUUCGAAUAGGGCGGUACCUUGACGGUACCUGACGAGAAAGCCACGGCUAACUACGUGCCAGCCGCCGCAGUAAGAC